AGAACAGGUAUGACGAUCGCUUUUUCUUUUUAUUUUAUAAAGAGAGAAAGAGGAAAGUCCGGACAUUCCCUUUAUUUUUUUAAAGGAACUGGGUAGCGGGUAACUCCCGCACGCUGUGAAGCGCGAGGUGCGAACAGAGACGUUUUCUUUUGCGAAAAAGAAAACAUCCUAUUUUCGAAUAGGAUGAGUUCUAUAGGAAACUAUAGAAGUGAAACGGUUAAAUCCUUACCCGAAUGCAAGACCGUGUCUCUCUUUAUUGAGAGAAGAGUCGCUUUCUCCUUAAUCGGAGAAGAGCGUAUCGGUAACGAUACGUCUAGAGAAAUGGUCGUCCUCGACAGAAUCCGGCUUAUAUACCUGUUUUGAUC
rnacentral:RNase_P_RNA from 1 species